rnacentral:rRNA from 1 species
CUACGGGUCGCUCCAGUGGGGAAUAUUGGACAAUGGGGGAAACCCUGAUCCAGCAAUGCCGCGUGUGUGAAGAAGGCCUGCGGGUUGUAAAGCACUUUCGGUUGGGAGGACUGCUUCUAGCACUAAUAUUGUUGGAAGUUGACGUUACCUUCAGAAGAAGCACCGGCUAACUCCGUGCCAGCAGCCGCGGUAAUACGGUGGGUGUAAGCGUUAAUCGGAAUUACUGGGCGUAAAGCGCGUGUAGGCGGCUAGAUCAGUCGGGUGUGAAAGCCCCGGGCUUAACCUGGGAACUGCAUCCGAUACUGUCUAGCUUGAGUACAGGAGGGGAGAGUGGAAUUCCACAUGUAGCGGUGAAAUGCGUAGAUAUGUGGAGGAACACCAAUGGCGAAGGCAGCUCUCUGGCCUGAUACUGACGCUGAGGUGCGAAAGCGUGGGGAGCAAACAGGAUUAGAUACCCCAGUAGUC